UGGCCGCCUAGUAACACCAAGGGGGUUAACUAAAAAAGCGUACGCAGUUAUUUACGAUUUGGUAAAUCCUACUGUUAGAUGACAUAAGAAAAAGAGGGCGCAUGACAUUGAAAUCUUUUGUACUUUAUGGCGGAAAAAUGUCUUCCUUUUACUGAAGUAAAUGGAGUUGUUAUUACUGUAAUCAGCCAACAAACAAACAUGUAAGCAAAGAUGAUGACGAAGUGUGUUCACCAUAAUAUGGCACUUGUGCUCGUUCUGUUUCGGAAACGUUAACGAAAGCUUUGAAGCAGAGCAUGAAAAUAUGACCAAGCCAUUAAAAGUUUGUGAAGAAUCAAACAGUUCUUAUUUUUGGUUACAUUUGAAAUGUACAUCUAAAGAAACUAAUCAGAAAAAAGAUGAAUACUGGCAAAGUGAACUACAGAAUAUAAAAUAAUAAUGUGAUUCACACGUACCUUUUCGUAAUGCAUCAAAAAAUAUAAUACAAUAUAGCAAACUUGAACUAAUAACAAUAAAAAGAAAGAAAAAUAAAAAUUAGUAUCUAUAUCAAAACAAAGAUAUUCUGGUACAUUUAGUAAUACAUUUAAAACUGCUUCACAGUUAUAAAAGCAGUAUGAAAUAAAGCAACCAAAUACUUCGCGCAAACCUGCAAAAAGCAACACACUCGGAUGUAAUACAUAAUUUAUUUGCAAAAACAAAAAACUUAAUUUAAGGGUUCAAUUUGAAAUAAACUUAAUUAAUGAUACAUUUACAUACAGAGCAAUGUUUGCUUAACAAUUAUGAAAAAAUAUGCUUGAUUUCGAUCACUUUCAGAGUUAAUAAUGUCCUCAAAUAUAGCAUUUAGUAUCACCAAUAUAGUUACCUUAUACAAAGAUCCAAGUGCAUACUAGAAGAAUGACCAAAGAUAUAAAUUGAAUAAAAAUUAAGGUAAUUAAAAAAAUCGAUUUCAGUAAUUCAUACAUCAACGAAUUAAAUAGAACUUAUUAAGAAUUUCUUGUAAAUGUAGCUGUAAAAUACAGAAACAAGGUUUAUUUCUGGCUUCUCAUAUUUGUCAAAGUUUUAUGUAAGCUUACGUAUUGUCAAAAACUUUUCAUAUUUGCGAUAAUUGACUGAUGAUUUCAACAUUGAGAAAAAAUUAUAAAAACGAAAAACCAGAAAAGUGGAGGAAAUUAAAUCAACAAAUGCUAUAACAAAAAAAGUGAAACAAAAAACAUGUAAAAUAUCUUCCAAGCUAUUGACAGUACGCUGUAGAGUCAAGUGAAAAGUCCAAAAAAACACGAUUCCAUAUGUUCUAAAAUACCUCCCGGUAACAAGCGCCGGACCGUAAGGACCUUAGAUAAGUCAUGUUAUACAGCAGUAGUACCAAUUGAUCAACAUAUUAUUUUAUUAAUAACUAGCUGACCCAGCAGCCGUUUUCCUGCGUGAAAUUACAUAUGUGUUUUGAAAUGAAAACAAAAUUAAAUUUAUCACUUCCUUUAUUUUCAAUGUAACGCAGCUUGAUAAACAACAUUUUUUAGUUUCUGUUCCGGUGCGUAAAUGUACAGAGAAGAUAGUUUUCCAACUCGUGAGCACGCCACGUAUUUUUGGCCGUGUAAAAAACAUAGCAAAAUUUAUGCCAUACACUUCUAGCGACUAUCCUUGUGCCCUGAUGAUUGUCAUCUCAAAUGCAAUUUUUACUACGGAAUCCGUUUGAACUGAAAUGGCAAAUCAUGAGAACUCAAACAAAUUCGUAGAAUCAAGCAUUCUGCCCCCUUGUAUUCGCAAGCUGUGUCACAAUCAGUCGGGUUCCAUUACACAAUUUCGGCGCUUGUAGAUUGCGCAGCAUAAUAACGACAGAUCCAACUUUGAGAUGCAAAUGAUGCGGUGGCAUAUAAAGCCCCUCCAAAGAAUUUAGAAACUCCACUGGAUAACUCACGGCGUCGUCUUCAUUGUCAAGACGAUCGAUCGAUUUGUAUGAGCGCAAUUCUCCCGGAAUUUGACUUUGAAUCUUCCAGUUUAAUUCUAAACAAUUCUUGAUGAGUUCAUCUUUCGUGAAUCGAUAAACGGCAAAUGGAAUUGAUAUCAAACCACCGGAAGUAUCAACCGGAAUUUAUCCAUAUUCAAUUUUUAGAUGUAAAAUGUCUUCGGCAAUGUCAUUUUUGUUCGUAUCUAAUAGACGCGGAUUUGGAGGAUGAUAUGUCGAAAUGAUUAUCGUGAAAAGUGUGCGAACGUUAUUUUCAUUCCAGUGAUUAUCAUUUUCCAGCAAUUGUAAUUCCAGCAAUUACUUCUCAAAAAGUUGCACACACCGUAUCAUUCACAGUACGCAAUGACUCAUAUGAAGUUGAACCGCGUACUUUUUUCAAUAGCAACCGAAGGUAGAAACAAUCGUCGUUUUUCGGGUGGAUUGUGUAAAUUCAUCUUAAUGCAUUAAUUGAUAACACACCUGAAUGUCCAUCUAAUGGUUGGCCUUGCUUUCUGCGUAAUUAUUUCUUCAACGAAGCAUUCCAUGCAUAAUAUCGAGGUAUUUCCGAAUCUCCUCGCAAACGGAUCAUUGACUUAUGUUGAUGCCAAAAAGAACACCGACCGAUAUUACAAAUUUCAAUCUGUAAUUGAUCACUUUGUGUGCAACACACAUAACAUUUUUACUGAAUAAUUUCAAAAAAUUUUUGAAACAAACGACAAAUUUGAACGAUUCAAAUAAUUGAAAAAACAAAAGAAAAAAAGGUGUAUGGAAAAAAUUAACUUUUUGGAAUCGUCCAAUUUUCCGACUUUUCCUCACGAAAAGCGUACAGGUUUUUUUAUUUCUAAACCUUCCCCGAUCCACACAGAACGUUCUCUGAAAAUUUCAUCAAGAUUGGUUCCGUCGUUCCCUUAGCGUUACUAAUAAACAAACAAUCAUUCGUUUGUAUGGGAAAAAGAAAAGUGCUGCUUUUAGGGGUUUUCCGGCAAAUAUUUUGGAGUUCUUGCCGUAAAAACUAUCCUUGAGCCUCAACGAACAUUUUAAAAAAAGAAUUGGCAAAAUUUGUCCAGGCGUUUUUGAGUUAUGCGCUUACCAACACAUUUUGCGAUUCAUUUUUAUAUAUAAGAUAUUAUUAUUAUGUUAUUAUUGUUUAAUUAACUUAAAAGAUUUGUUAUUAUUUAUAUUUUAUACAUUGCUUUGUACUUAUUUCAUAUACGUGAAAACAAGAAAAUAGGUAAACUUCCAAAGCUUCACCAAACCAAAAGUUUCCAUACAUGGCCUUGAUUUUAAUAGACUAGUUUGUAUGGCAACUACAUACGAGUAUGUGUAAUCCAUUCUAAACAAUUUGUAUAGAGAUUGUACCGUUACUCUGGACAAUAAUUCGUGCAAAAUUUUGUGAAGAUAUCUUGCCAAAUAAAUAAAUGUUCCAUACAAUAACUUGAUUUUGAUUACUCAGCUUGUAUGGCAGUUACGUAUAUACUGUAGUGGUCGAACUUCUAACAAAUGAACUGCUUUUUAGGGUGAAAAAAGAGUGCAAAAUCUCAUAAAGAUAUCUUAAAAACUGAAGGACAAGUUCGCGUAUAUACAUACAGUCAAACGGACGGAAGGACGGAAAUAAUGGUUAAUAGACUCUGCUCGUCCCGCUGAUCCUCAAUAUACGAUAAUGAUUUACAGACAUUUCGCAGCUUGCCAUUCAACUAAUCAAAGAUACAAAACCUUAAGAGAGCAUGGCUCUUAUAAAAUGUUCGACGCCAAUAAUGGUAAAACGUAUUAUUAUAAUCGCAAAAGGAAAUGAAGGUUAUAGACGGUCAAAAAGUUUGUAUUAGUUAAAUUAAUAUUUUAUUCUCUGUAUCAUAUUGCUCGAAUCUAUUGUUUUGAUAAACUUCUUCUUUACUAGCGUAGAAAACCCUAACACAGUUAUAGCCAAAUUAACAACCGCGCGACAGUCGUUUCUUCUUUUUGAAAUGUGGCGCCAAUUGAAGAUUCCAGGCAGGUCCUUCUCCGCCUGGUCUUUCCAACGGAGAGGAGGUCUUCCUCUUCCUCUGCUAUCCUCGGCGAGUACUGCGUCAAAUACUAUCAGAGCUGGAGUGUUUUCAUACAUUCAGACAACAUGACAUAGCCAACGUAACCGUUGUCUCUUAAUUCGCUGGACUAUGUCAAUGUGCUCGUAUAUAUCGUACAGCUCAUCGUUCCAUCGAACGCGAUAUUCGCUGUGGCUAAAUCGCAAAGGAUCAUGAACCCUUCUCUCGAAAACUCGUAGCGUCGACUCAUCAGAUGUUGUCAUCGUUCAUGCCCCUGCUCCAUAUAACAGGACGAGAAUAAUGAGUGACUUUUAGAGUUUUUGUUCCUCGAGAGGAGACUUUACUUCUCAAUUGCCUACUUAGUCCGAAGUAGCACCUGUUGGCAAGAGAUAUUCUGCGAUGGAUUUCGAGGCUGACGCUGUUGUUGGUGUUAAUACAGGUUCCAAGAUAGACGACAUUGUUUGCGACUUCGAAGUUAUGACUGUCAACAGUGACAUUGUCGCGAGUGCGACGACUGUUUGUUUAAUGACAGGAGAUAUCUCGUCUUGCCCUCGUUCACCACCAGACCCAUUUGGUUCGCUGUCUUAUCCAUUCUGGAGGAAGCCGAACUAACGGCGUGGUUGUUAAGGCCAAUGAUAUCAACAUGAUAGGCGAACGCCAGCAGCUGUACACUCUUCUCGGAGCGGUACACAGUCGUAUAAAUUUUGCGGGGAUACAAAUUCUGACACCGCGGCAUUAACGCAGAUCCGCUUCGUGCUGUCAAAAGCAGUUUAAAGUCGACGAAGAGUUGGUGUGUGUCGUUUCUCUUUUAACGGGCCAAAUAUUUUUGGCGCUUGGUAAAUAUCUGGUCACUCCAAGUCCAGGUCUAAAGCCACCCUGAUAAGGUCCAAUAAGUUUGUUGACGGUAGGCUUUAACCUUUCACACAAUACGCUCGAUAUAACCUUAUAUGCGAUGUUGAGGAGGCUUAUCUCACGAUAGUUGGCGCUGAUUGUGGAGUCUCUCUUUUUGUGAAUUACAAAGGCACACUUAAAUUUUAAUCGUCUGGCAUGCUUUCAUCCGAACAUGUUCUACCAGCAAGCUGAUGCAUGCUCCUUAUCAUUUUUUCGUCGCCGGUAAUUGCUAUUCAAACUUUUUUAUGGACGGUUACUAGAUCACCUCUGGGUGGUUCUAUAAGAGUAUGCUGCGGUCUUGAAACUUUCUGUUAGUCGCAUUUUUUUUAAGAAUUUUUGUGCCUUACCCCUUUCGACCAGCUUAUCAAGUUUUCAUGUUCACACAUUUCGGCCUUUUUCUGUCCGAAAAUGCGUCUCGUUUUCAUCUUCAACUCUCGGUAUCUAUCCCAUCGCCCACGUGUUUUGGUCGAUCGUAACGUUACGAGGUGGGCAGUCUGUUUUUUCUUCUCAACGAUACGGCACUCCUCUUCGUACUAGCUGUCCUUUUGCAUGUUCCGAAAACCAAUGGUUUCGGUUGCAGCUGUACGUAAGGAAUUUGAAAUGCCGUUCUACAGUUCCCUUGUACCGAGUUGUCUCAGAGGGCAGGAGUGCAGGUCGAGUAUAAAAUCGUUCGGCUAUCUGUUGUGAUUGCAGCUUCUCGACUGCGAUAUUAGGACCUCGAAGCGUACGAAUGUCUAAACCACUGGAGACGUAUCUGUCGUCUAUCAAAACAUGAUCGAUCUGGUUUGUGGCUUUUCGAUCCACUUCGAUACGGAUUGUGGCUAGACAUUCAUCCAAUGGGGUGAAUGUCAGUACUAAGCGACGAAGUCUCACUCCCACCAUGAAUCUCACACCGAAUGUGUGCUCCUUUAUAUGGCCACUGCAGUAAAUGCCUCAAGGGCCUACUGGUCUCAGUCCUUGUCCCGUCCAUGCAAAUUUCUUUUCUCACUUGCGUGAACUUCUACACAUGUCUCCAUCCUCCAAAUUUAUCACUACGUUUGGUAAAUCGUAAAAUUUACCAGAUAUACGCCUUAUUGAUAAACUGUGACCAAAUUUGCUAAAUCCGGCCCAUAUUUUCAUGUGAACUGAGAAUUAUUUAAAAAAAAAUAUUGCUUUUUAUUUUAAAAUUAAAAAAAAUCCAUGAGUAAUUAGAUAUGUCAUUCUUCUACCUACCUGUCUU